GAGGGAACAAACCCUGAAGGUGUGAACAAGCUCGGUGCAUCUAGACAUGUAAGGAAGGUUCCAGCAUGUGAAGGAGCGAGGACGGAGAAGGGUCCGGUGAGGUCUUACAGCAACAGAGGGUCCAGCCACAUGAGGCUGAGCAGCCAAGCUCCAUUUUACAGAUGAAGAAACAAGACCUGAAAAGGUUAAACAACUUGCCCAAGAUCAUCCAGCCAAGUCAUGAUAAAGCUGCACUUGAACACACACUUCUCAGAUUCCAAAGCCCAAGUUUCUCUCUACUAACUGUAUGGCCCCUGCACUCAAAAACUGAGAAAUCUCUCUGCCCUGUGACCUGGAUGGGGCAAAUUCAGAUAACACGAAUACUCUAUGACCAGAUCAGAGAUGGGAAGCCUCCAGCCUAAGCCAGGAUUUGAACUUGGGUGUUGAAGACCUAUGCUCUUCCCAUGAAGUCACGUUGCUUCUAAUCAAUGUGUCCUCAUCGCUCCCCACUCAUGCUUCACAGCUCCAGGCUCAAGCAGGCAUGGACCCUGUUUCAAGAUUCCCUGCCUCUGGGGUGCCCUGUCAACUUCCAGAGCUCUGGCUUUAACUCAGUGCUGCACCCAGAUUUGUAGCCCCUCGAUGAUUCUUAGCCAACUUGCAUCCUCUGUUCUGGGCCAACCUUGGGCUUCCAAGCAGCCGGCUAAUCAUUCCAGAUGUGCCUGCCUUGCUCAGUCCGGACUUACAACUCUGUCUCUUAACAACUGCAGCUCACAGUCUACCAUGAUAGGAAUUUCCAUAAAGGAUUUUCACAGCACAGAUGUCUUUCUGCCUUUCAAAGGAAGCUUCUAAAGGUCAAAAUGAUAAGAAGUGGCAAAUUGGCCUGGCAGACAAGAAAAGCAUAUUCAAAAGGUAAUGAGGAAUAUCGAAAACAGGCACAAAUGCUGCUGAGCUUUCAACCCUCGUUUGUAAUGAGAUUCCUACAAGCCUUCUAGUCAUUCCCACCAUCUCUCCUUUUUGUACUCCCCGGCUUGACAGCCAAGGCUCUAAUUGCUACACUCAAGGAAAGCAAAGACCCACUUGGCUGCAUUUGGCUUAAAUGGAUAAGAAAAAUGCCAGCUUGGCACAGUGGCUCACGCCUGUAAUCCCAGCACUUUGGAAGACUGAGGCAGGAGGAUUCUUUGAGCCCAGGAGUUCAAGAGCAGCCUGAGCAACAUACUAAGACCUGAUAUCUACUAAAAA
ensembl:lncRNA disrupted in schizophrenia 2